UCGGGUAUGGUGUAACGGUAACAUUUCUGACUCUCAGCUCUCAAAGUCUUCCAAGAUUGAGUGAGCACUCAGGGGCCCGGGGUUCGAUUCCCCGUAUCCGAG